UCCUAUUCCACGUUGGCAGUCAACCAAAACACUUUGGAAUUUUUUUUUUUUCACAUACAUCCCACUAGAAUUCCCAUAAACUACAAUAUCCCAAAACUACUCAAAACAACAAGGUUUAAUAAAUAUUCAUUAUAGUCCAAAAAUAAAAGUUCACAAGUAAACAACUUAAUCAAAAUAAGGUUUCAUAACAAAUCCAUAAGUCAUAAUUACUAAAACAAAUCUCAAAAACACAAUAAAAGAAUAUGUCAUGCUCCAUUAGGCCGCUCCAAGAGCAUCCUGAAGUCCUCCCUGCCCCACCUACGGAUCCUCAGGAGUGAUAUCUGCAUCUAAAAAGGUGUAAAAAAAAAAGGGUGAGCAUUUCCACAUUGCUCAGUAGGAUGCCUAACACCCAAGGGGUUACGGGGAUUACUAAGUUCUAAAGAAUACGAAAAGAACACUUUAACACAAUAGAAACAAUUCAACAUUAUCAAUCAAACCACAUAGUUUAAUAUCUAAUAUUAUACACAAUUUCACAACAUUCAACAAUUACAUGAAUGCACAUGAACAUCUGACACACAGUCAUACAAUGCAUUAUUGUUCUCGGGCUUUCACCGAAGGAUACAUGUCCGCACCCAAAUACACUCCCCAUUCGGAGUCUUCUUGGGGUAACUUUUGGGUCUUUCACCCUAGGGAUCUCUCUCCCUUCUUAAUUCACCUCACACGGGCUUUCACUUUUCAUCACUAUUUCAUUUUUUUCCAUUUCAUACACUUUUCACAAUUUUCAUAAUUUUUUUUUUUCACAUAACCAUGAUGCAAAUGAAUGCCACAAUUCCAAAGUUCCUCAAUAAUUUCAACAAUCUCAAUAUUCCCCAAUAAUCCAAUAAAAUAAUUUUCCACAUUAAAAUUUCCGAAAGUAUCCCAAAUAAAUAUUCAAAAAUUUGCAUAUCAAUAAACUUGAAAUUAUACCACACUUACAGAAUUUUUCAACCAUUAUAAUAAUUUCUAAUAUUCGAAAUUAACAAACUUUCCACCAUAAAAAUUCCGAAAAUAUUCUAACUAAUGCCCAAAAAUUCACAAAUCACUAUUUUUGAAAUUAAACCCUAAUUUCGGAAAUUUUCAACCCUUCUAAUAAUUUUUAAUAUUUGAAAUUAACUAACUUUCCACCAUAAAAAUUCCGAAAAUAUUUUAACCAAUGCCCAAAAAUUCACAAAUCACUAUAUUUGAAAUUAAACCCUAAUUUCGGAAUUUUUCAAUCCUUCUAAUAUUUUUUAACAAUUCAAAACAAUUAAUUAUCAACCAAAAGCAAUUUCCCACAAUUACAAAAAUUCCAAACAAAUUCCAAAUAAUCCAAAAAAAUUCAUACAACACCCAUAUUUCCUACUUAACUCAUAAUCACAAGAUUUACAAUUUUUUUCAAAGGAAAAACACAUUAAAUUUAAGUUUUAGGGUUAGGUUCCCUUACCACAAAUCUAAUAAUUCAACCAUUAAAAACACGAUUAGCCACUGUAGGAUUGUUCCUCUCGUCGAGUAGAGCACCCCCUCAAAAUAUGAGCCGAAAUUGGGGUCGUUUAGCCACCCAAACGACCGAUCAAAGUUCCGGCAAGAUGAAAUUUCCCACAGUGCUGCCGCCUCCUUUUCUCACCCGUUCCACUAAUGUUUCCCUUUCUUUUUACAAAGCCCAUUUCUUUUCCUUGUUUUAAUCCACUUACCACCAGUCCACUCAAACCCAGCCCAAAGUUCAAAAACCCAAUAACUAAUUCCCAUUUUUCUUUUAAAACCCCAUUUCAUCCAAGCCUAAAUUAAUUCCUUUUCAUUUUUGUUUUUUUUUUCUCUUUAUUCUCAUUUGGUUAUUUUCCAUUUCCAAUUUCAUUUCAUUUUUUUUAUAACACACAAAUUAAUAUUUUCUCAAUUUUAUUAAUAAGGAAUUUAAUUUAAUUAAUUAAUAUUUUUUUAUUAAUUCUAAUUAAUUUUAAUUAAUUAACUUUUCAUUUUCGUUUUUGUUUUUUUUUUUUCCGGAAAUUCUCAAUUACUAAAAUCCUAAGAAAUUUCUACCCUAAGGCUGACAUGGCAUAAAAUUUUCAACUCGUCUAAUUGACCAACACAAUAAACUGAAUUUCACCAAUCCAAAACUAACACGUGUUCUUCAGACACUUUUCUUUUUUACUUUUCAACCAUCACUCAAAAUAAGACUUUUCAAAAUAGAAAUGCUAACGUGGCAUAAAAUACCCAAUCAUUACAGAAAGGGUCCAAUUCUACUACUUCAGGGAGACCAUUGCACUCACGAAUGUAAAUUAGGUUCAAAAUUCCCUUUUUUGGCAAUUCGUCAAACAAAUUUGCAUGCGUCAAUCAUUAUUCCAUUUCUUGCAUGCAUUUUCAAAGUCCCGUUCCUUGAAUAUUCAUCCUAGCCGAAUCCAUUAUUGUUGAUAUAGUCAUCAUCUUUUUAUUUUUUAUGGCAAAAUUCCCAUACUACAAUAGUAGUCACCAGCAACGGAAUCUCGAUCAACGCAUAGUAGUAAUUCCUCUUUCCUCCUGCAAAAAGAUGUUCGGACAUCCCCUGCUACAAUAGUAGUCACCAACAACGGAAUCUCGAUCAACGCAUAGUAGUAAUUCCUUCUUCCUCCUGCAAAAAGAUGUCUGAACAUCCCCUGCUACAAUAGUAGUCACCAGCAACGGAAUCUCGAUCAACGCAUAAUAGUAAUUCCUCCUUUCUCCUGCAAAAAGAUGUCCGGACAGGAUGUCCGAACACACCUCCGAUGGUUUUGUUAGCCAUGGCUCAAGAGAUUAAGCUAUCAAGGUUUUUCAGGGAUAGUUAGCUUACCUUCCUCCUUGUGUGAAGGCUCUUUUAUAUAGUGUCAGAAAGUAUGGUCUCGCUGUGCUAGCGGGUCCCAUCGUCAUGAUUGCGGCUUAUAAGGUGGCAAAGCAAUCAUGACAUUUCUGGUGCCAGGUGGCGGUUGCCACUUCAAUUAUGACAUUAAAUAUCGGGGAUGUGUCAGGCACUUUGAUAAGAUUUAGGAAUAUCUUGCCUCUUUAAAUAUCGGGAAUAUGUCAGGCACUCUGAUAAGAUUUGGGAAUAUCCUUUCGAGCUUAUCUUUCAUUGAAGAUGAGUGACAGUUCAGGAGACUUGGUCGUCAAUAUUAUCUGAGUUUGUUUUUUUAUUGUGGGCGGAAAUGGAUCCGGCGAAUCGCGAGUGUCUGACGAGCUAAGUUGUCUGGGGAAUCUGAAAUGGCGGCUGCGGAUGUUCUCCGGGUACGCGCUAUCAGAGUAUCUGGACAUGCCUGACCGGGAAAGUUGAAUUGUCCUCCUCUCCCAUCCGACGGCAGGCGCCAGGUGUGAAAUAUCCGGAGAAGGUGGAACGUCGGCGGAUUCAGAUGUGAGAUAUCCGGAUGAGGUGGAACGUCGGCCGGACAGAAUGGCGAAUGUGAGACAUCCGGAUGAGGUGGGAUGUCGGCCGAACAUAAAUCCGGAUGUGAGACAUCCGGGUGGAAUGAGUGAGAAUUUCCGUCCGGGUGGAAUGAACGAUGCCACGUGUCGCAAGGGGGACGUUCGCGUGUCCUAGGGAGAGGAAGCCACAUGGCGCUUUUUAGGGAGGAUCCCACACUUAUGACACGGAGGUGUGGGGAUGUACGUGUUGGUAUAUGUGAGUGUCUCUUCCCAUAUCUCUGGUGUUUCCGGGCAUAACGAAGAUAAUGACGUUGAACAAAUGAUGAUUCACGUUUUCUUCAUCUUUAAGUUGUACAUCUAGUAUACCAGAACAACCACUAUAAUGUUCAACACAUGCGUUCAACAGGGACACUCAUUUCCCUUCAUACCAUAACAUGCACUCUAAUCCCACCAUCUCAAGGAUGCAGAAACGAAUGAGCCACGUGGAUGGAGACCCCUAGCACACCUAUACUAUUUUUUUCACGUGGGGUGACAAAGGUUGGGUCCAAAGGGUGCACAUCAUGUAGAAACCCUGGUUUGUGGCUGAAUGCAUGGAGAAAGCAGAGAGACUUUAGUGUGGAGAGCAUGGCGCUUGGAAUGAGAAGAAUGUGAUAAGCAUGAAGGAUAGGUAUAAAGGCUAGAGUGGCCACACAUGGCCAUGCAAGUGUGAAGGGGAAAGGUUUAGGAAGAGUAAAGAAUGGUUAUAUAUAGAGAUUGGUGUCAAGUGGAAUUAUGGGUAGUGAUAGAGAUGGGUACGAAGGAAUAAUUCGAUGGGUAUGGAACAAUGGGUUGGAUGAACGCUAGGAUAGACGAGUUUAAUGAAGUAUGAAGGUUAAUGGGAUGGGAAGGAGGUGGGUAGUGAGUGAACUGGCAGAAAACUUCGAGUUCAGUGCCAUUGGGUUGGCAUCCGGACAUAGAAAAUGGGUGUUUGAUCACAGUAUUAGGGGUUGGAUGCACUAUAUUAGAGGACUCUCCUUUGUGAUGCAUGGGUCUUCCUAUUGUAGUGUCGUUUUUUACCCGCUGUUACGUCUAUUGGAGGAAGGAUCAUGACAGGCGUUAACCCCACUGCAUGAUCAGAAUUUAAUGGCAUCUACAACUCAUCAUAUUUCCGAUAGACUCGAUCAGAGUGGGUCCCUGAUGAGGCCACUCCAAUCUAGCCACCGCUUUCAGGAAGGCUACGUGGCGACGGGGUGGAUGCUGAUGUGUGUCUUGUCUUGCUUGCACCUGAACGCUUCUUCUAUUCAUCAUCAAAUUUCCACUGUUUGUAUCAAUGUUAGGAUCACAUGUUACGCCCUUGACACAGCUGCAAACUCAUCAAAUGCUAGAGGGCGAUGAACCACAGAUAGAUGAGAGAAUAAUGGCCUUGUCCUUGCAUGUGCAUGAGUGGCAUGAAUUGUAAGAUUAUGAUUCUUAUGCCAAUGUAUUGACACUAAAUGCUCAAGAAAGCCCAAUAGAGCAAUUUGGACUGAAAUUGAUGCCUUAACCCACAAGCUCUAGUCCAACAAGACACGCUCAACCAUUUCUGCAUUUGCCAACACAAUACAAUUUGAUAUUUCAAUUGGUAUAUCAGUAUUUUCAAGCUCCGAAAUAUGACUAAAUGAAUCUUUAUGCGCAGAAAAAUCAUCCAUAUCCCCAUGAGAUCCAACUGAAAAAAAUUCAUCACAAAACUUAGAGAAAUUAAGAUCCUCAAUGCUAGCUUCUGGAUUAAUCGCAACAGGCAAGGAAAUAUUAUGAGUAUUUUCCAACUUCCUUGGUUUAGAAAAUGAAGCCUUACAUGCAGCAAUCUGGAAAAAGAUUUCAAGAGAGUGCAUGUCAAAUAAUGACAUUCUUAAUUAGGCAAAAUAGCAAUUAACAACUAGUAGUUUAGUUUGUUACAACAACAUUAGUUAUUUUCGUUUUCUUUGUUAAAACUCUGUUAGCCUUUGUUUUUCUAAACCCUGCUAUAUAUAUAGCAGAGGUGUUGUAUUGUAAAUAUAAUAAAAAUCCAUCUUUCUCUUUCUCACUCUCUUCUUCUUCCUAUCUUGGUAUCAGAGCUACAGUGCUCACGCAUCAAUGGCCGCUGUGAAUCAGACUACUGGAGAGGUGUUACAUUCGGAUCCUUCAGCUGAAGCUAGAAGAGGCAAUCCGACGACCACAGACGAAUCUUUGAGAAUGGUAAUAAGCCCUUUGAGUCAGCUUAUUACGAUGCGUCUGGAAGAUGAUAAUUUCUUGAUGUGGAAGUAUCAAAUCGAAAAUGUUGUACAGGGUUAUGGUCUUGAAGGUUUCUUGUUUGGAACAAAGCAAGUUCCACCAAAGAUGGUCACUAAUGAAACAGGGAUUUUGGUUCCAAAUCCCAAGUUCAGAGAUUACCAACGCCAAGAUCAUCUGUUGAUUUCUUGGCUUCUAUCUUCAAUCGGAAGUGCGUUCUUGUCUCAGGUUGUUGGGUGUUCUUCAGCUUUUGAGGUAUGGAAUACAAUUUCCCAGAAUUUCAAUUCCCAAUCUUCUGCAAAGGUUAUGUUCUACAAGAGUCAAAUGCAGAUGUUAAAAAAGGAUGGUCUGACUAUGAGAGAUUAUCUUACCAAAAUGAAGAAUUAUUGUGAUCUUCUUGCUACUGCUGGUCACAAAAUUUCAGACACAGAUCAUAUACUUGCUAUAACGCAAGGUCGAGUCUGUCAUUGCUGUUAUCUCCUCGAAAAAGUCUUCUCCUUCUCUUCAACAUGUCACCUCGACUUUGAUUGUUCAUGAAGGAAGAAUUGCACACAAAAUCUCUUCUAAUGAUCUUUCUAUGAAUUACACCUCUCAGUAUUCUAAUAGAGGUUCUUCUUCCUCUUGGAAUUCUAAUGGCUACCCUUCUAGUGGUUUUCAGAAUAGGAAUCAAUUUGGAGGAAAUCAGGUGACUAGAGGGUCUUUUGUUCAUAACAGAGGAAGAGGUCGUGGCAGAGCUCAAGGAGGAAUCAAGCCUCAGUGUCAACUAUGCAAUAAAUUUGGUCAUACUGUUCAUCGUUGCUUCUAUAGGUAUGAUCCAAAUUUCCAUGGGAAUAUGCCUGCUAAUGGACCUACUCCUGGUGUUUUAGGAAGUGGUGCAAGGAAUGGAGCAUCUGGUUCAAUUUCUAGUGCUGGAAAUGUCAAUCUCACUGAGUAUGAUGCUCAAGAAGAUCAAGAUUACUCAGAAAUGGAAGCAAUGGUUGCCACUCCUGAAGAUCUUCAAAAUUGUUGUUGGUUCCCAGAUUCAAGAGCCACAAACCAUGUUACUCAUGAUCUUGGCAACCUCAAUUCUGGUGCUGAGUAUAAUGGUAACUCAAAAAUCCACAUGGGAAAUGAGACUGGACUUAAAAUUUCACACAUUGGUUUAUCUGUUUUUCCUUCUUCUUCUAGUCCAAAUAAAGUUUUUUUCCUUAAAAAUAUUCUUAGAGUUCCUGCAAUUAAGAAAAAUCUGUUAAGUGUUUUUCAAUUUGCCAGAGAUAAUAAUGUUUAUUUUGAGUUUCAUCCAAAGGUUUGUUUUGUUAAAGACAAAUCUAAUCACUCUUUACUCUUGUAGGGCAAUCUGCAUAGAGGACUCUAUCAGUUCAACCUGUCAAAGAAACUCUUUGGAAAAGCAUCUGGUCUUUCUUUAUCAAAUGGUAAAAAUGAACUUACAUGUUGUAAUGAUUCUCUUGUGCAUAAUGACAAUUCUGAUUUUCCUAAAAAUACCAAUUCUAGUUUUCAUGUUUUUGAUUUGUGGCAUAAAAGGCUUGGUCAUCCGGCCUCAAAAAUUGUAACACAGGUUCUCAAUGUUAAUAAAAUUCCAUUUUCUACCAAAUCUGGUUCUUCAAUUUGUUUAGCUUGUCAGCUCGGGAAAAGUCAUAAUUUGUCUUUUCUAAUUUCUCAAACUGUGUAUACUAAGCCUCUUCAGUUAGUUGUAUCAGAUUUAUGGGGGCCAACUCCAAUUAAUUCUUCUUAUGGGUUCACAUAUUAUGUUUCUUUUGCUGAUGCAUACUCUAGAUACACCUGGGUUUAUUUCUUGAAAACUAAGUCACAAACUAGAGAAGCCUUUUUAAUGUUUAAAGCUCAAGUUGAACUCCAAUUUGGUUGUAAACUCAAAACCUUUCAAACAGAUUGGGGUGGUGAAUUUAGAAGUUUGAAAACCUAUUUUGAACAAAAUGGUAUAAUACAUAGGCUUUCAUGUCCUCAUACUUCAAAACAGAAUGGCAUUAUUGAAAGAAAGCAUAGACAUAUAGUGGAGUUAGGUUUGACUUUUCUUGCUCAAGCUUCUCUUCCACUUAAAUAUUGGCCUGAUGCUUUUUCCACAGCUGUUUUUCUCAUCAAUAGGUUGCCUACUGAGGUCUUAAAGCAAAAGUGUCCCUAUGAGUUUUUGUUUAAUUCUAAACCCAAUUAUUCUCAGCUUAAGGUGUUUGGCUGCCUUUGUUUUCCUCACCUAAGACCUUACAAUAAACAUAAACUAGAUUUUAGGUCCUCACCUUGUACUUUCCUUGGUUACAGUUCUAAACACAAAGGGUAUAAAUGCUUAAAUCAGCAAAGAAGAAUGUUUAUUUCUAAAAGUGUUGUCUUUGAUGAAACUAAGUUUCCUUUUGCAGAUAGACUUCAAAAACCUAUUCAAAUUGUUUCACAUUCAACAGUUGGUCUUCCUUGCAUUCCUUUAGUUAAAAACCUAGAGCCACUAAGUAUCAGUCCUUCACUGACACUUCCCACAUCUUCAGCUCAAUCAAGUCAUCAGCUUGAUGAGAAUCUUGGUUCAGACAUUAGGUCUGUUCAACAGGAUUUAUCAAACACUGAUUAUUCUUCAACUGUGCCAAUUCUAAAUGAGUCAGCUUUCAUACCUUCUUCUUCUAAUCUAUAUGCUCUUCCUGGUACAAUUCCUUUAUCAACAAAUUCAGAUGAACCAAAUGAAUCUAUCAAUACAAGACCAGUCACUUUACCACAACAACCACAUCAUAUGGUUACGAGGUCAAAGAAUGGUAUUUUUAAACCAAAAGUCUAUACUGUUGAUCUUAAUGUUGAAGAACCUAAUACUUUCCAGGAAGCAAUCUCUCAUCCCAAAUGGAAAGAAGCAAUGGAUGAAGAAUUUAGAGCUUUGAUGAAGAACAAGACUUGGUCUUUGGUUUCUCUUCCAACUAACAGAACUUCUGUUGGGUGCAGAUGGGUUUUUAAACUCAAAAGGAAUCCUGAUGGUUCUGUCUCUAGGUACAAAGCUCGUCUAGUAGCAAAGGGCUACUCUCAAGUUCCUGGUUUUGAUUUUUAUGAAACCUUCAGCCUAGUUGUGAAGCCUACUACAAUUAGAGUUGUUCUUGUUAUUGUUGUUUCUCAAAGCUGGUUUAUAAGGCAGUUGGAUGUCAAUAAUGCCUUUUUAAAUGGUGAAUUGCAAGAGGAAGUUUACAUGGACCAACCUCCAGGUUUUGAUGGCAAAACCAAUCAAGAACAAAAGCUAGUUUGCAAACUACAUAAGGCCUUGUAUGGCUUAAAGCAGGCACCUCGGGCUUGGUUUGACAAACUCAAGAUUUCUCUUCAACAGUUUGGUUUUUCUUCCACUAAGUCAGAUCAGUCCCUAUUUGUAAGGUUUACCAACUGUUCUUCUCUCUUUGUUCUUGUUUAUGUUGAUGACAUUGUUGUGACAGAGAGUAGUAGUCAAGAGAUUCACGAGCUUAUCUCAAGGUUAAGGGGUUUGUUUUCCCUUAAAGAUCUUGGUGAGCUUAGCUAUUUUUUGGGAAUUGAGGUAAAGAAAACUACAGAUGGUGGACUUCAUCUUUCUAAAAAAAAAUACAUUCAAGAUUUGCUUAAGAAGACUAAAAUGGAUGGAGCUAAGUCACUUCCCACUCCUAUGCUUUCUGGUCUAAAACUUUCAGCUGGAAUGGGUGAUCCAAUUGAUAAUGUUUUUUAGUACAGAAGUGUUGUUGGAGCUUUGCAAUACAUAACCAUCACUAGACCCGAGAUUGCUUUUAGUGUCAACAAGGUUUGCCAAUUUAUGCAGAAGCCUUUAGAUACUCAUUGGAAGGCUGUCAAACGAAUUUUAAGGUAUCUCAAUGGCACUACAGAUCUUGGUAUUGUGUUGAAGCCAUCAGAAACUAUGAAUUUAGUGGGGUUUUGUGAUGCUGACUGGGGGAGUGAUGUUGAUGAUCAAAGGUCUACAUUUGGGCAUUGUGUUUUUCUUGGGAAAAGCUUGGUUUCAUGGAGUUCAAAAAAGCAGCACACUAUUUCCAGAUCUAGUACUGAAGCAGAAUAUAGAACCUUAGCUAGCUUGACCUCAGAAAUGUUAUGGUUGCAGUCCCUCUUGUCUGAGCUCCAAACUAAGAUGACUAUGGUUCCUAUAAUUUGGUGUGACAAUAUAAGUACUAUUUCCCUUUCAGCUAAUCCAGUCUUGCAUUCGAGGACUAAGCAUAUGGAGUUAGACCUUUAUUUUGCAAGAGAGAAAGUAAUGGAGAGAAAGCUGGUGGUCAAUCAUGUACCAACUGAGGAUCAAGUUGCAGAUGUGUUCACAAAGCCUUUAUCUUUCAGGUUCUUUGACAAGCUGCGUGAAAAGCUUACUGUUACUUCUCUUGAUCUGAAGAAUGGAGAUUAGGCUUGGUGUUGUUGGGAUGUUCUCGGGAUCUCUUUUAUUAGGCUUGGUGUUGCUGGGAUGUUCUCAGGAUCUCCUUUUGAAAGUCUGAUUGCUUCUACUGAGUGGUAAAAAGCUUGAAUGAUUGAAGUUUAUGGUGGCAGGUUCAGUGGCUCCUAGGGGCUUGCUCCUAGAGGCUUCAUUUGAGGGAGCAAAUUAGGCAAAGUAGUAGCAGGUUCAGUGGUUCCUAGAGGCUUCGUUUGAGGGAGCAAAUUAGGCAAAGUUGCAAUUAACAACUAGUAGUUUAGUUUGUUACAACAACAUUAGUUAUUUUCGUUUUCUUUGUUAAAACUUUGUUGGCCUCUGUUUUUCUAAACCCUGCUAUAUAUAUAGCAGAGGUGUUGUAUUGUCAAUAUAAUAAAAAUCCCUCUAUCUCUUUCUCACUCUCUUCUUCUUCCUAUCUUUCUUCUAUGAAGAAAGAGAGAUAGCAGAUGGCAUCCUCUACAUAGAUGUCAACAGGACCAAUACAAGCUCUCAUAACAGCUUAGAUGUCUCCACCGAAUGAAUCUCUAGCGCACUGAUACAUAAAACGAGCUGACCGAAUAUGCAUACAGCCAAACAACUCAUGAACCAUUUUCAGCUAGGUACCUUUUGGUCCAACUAUAUUUGAGAGAAACCCACAUUUUUAUUAUGGCCCGACUCGCUCACCCCAACCUAAGUCAUGACUGAUGGUGGGAUGCUGCCUUCAUGAGCAUUGGAUUUACACUGUCUUAUAACAGGAAGAAAUGGAGUCUUCGAGGUAUCCUUCAAGUAAUCACAAACCACAUGGCUACUCUGUUCCGAAUAAACUACCCAUUCUUCCCAUGCCUCAAAACAAGGGGUAUUCGUAGGUAUUCUGAUAGCUGAAAGCCUCACAGGAGUUGGUAUUUGAGAACAACACUCAGAGUCUUGAUUGAUAGCGGACCAUGUUCAAAGACCCCUCCUAAGGCCCAUUCAGGUGCAGAAAAAUCCCCUGUUUCAUGAAACACACUCCACGAAACCAUCUUCUGAUCCCAAGCUUUAGAAAUUGUGCCCAUAUGAAAACCAAAGGCUCAUGCUGGACCAAAACCCUUCUCCUUGAGGGUAUGAAUGGCCAUCGAGAACAAAGUAUAAACAGCAAGAGAGCAAGCACAAAAACAGAGUAUAAACUAAACCAAAGAAAACACCGACCCGAGCUCCAUUUCAUAUUGGAGUCAAUGGGCUUAUGCAUGGGUGGGAAUAACCAAGGGGAACUAAGAUCUCAAAGAUAUGACUCAAAUAUCCAAAUGAGAGCUAUAAAGGAAUCAGAUUACUCUAAAACAAAUUUUCAAUGAAAAACAAAGCAUGGAUACAUUAUCACAUAGUCACAGCAACCCAAAUGAUAUCAAUGGCAAGCAAAAUGUGGUUUAGCCAACGUAUCUGAGAAUGUUUCCUUUCUUUUCUCUGUUUCAGCUUUCAGUUGCCUUUUCUCUCAAGCAACUAGCCAUCUGAAUCACCUUCUCUCACAGUCUCCCUAAAAAAAUACCUCUGCCUCAGCCACCCUAGAAAAAAAUCCCCCCAAACGGAAUACUCUCUAUCCCUCUUUAGCUUGCUACCCAAGCUCAAACGUCUCUCUCCUCUCUCUGCUUUUUUUUCCAGCUAAGCUCUCAAAAUCUCUGUAAAAACCAUCCUCUCCAAAAAAACCUCCUCCUCCGCAACCUCCAACCCCUCUCGCAUUACCUGAUGACCAAUCUUCAAGCUCCAUGUGGCUUUCCGAAAUCAAGACACUUGGCAAAACAAAAAUGCAUAAAAUGCACCCGGGGUCUACACACACAUUUUAUAUAUAUAUAUAGUUAUUUUACAAUGUAAUCUAUAUAUAUUUUUAAUCUUCUUUAUACGGAUACAAUCUAUAAUCUAAAACUUUGUUUUAUAUCUUCUUUAUAUGGAUAUGUUAAUCAUACGAUUAAAAUAUAAAAUGUACUAUUUCAUGUAUUAUAAAUCGAUUAUUCUCAUCAAUUUUUUUUCAUUUGCUAUAGUAGUUAUUUUGCAAAAAAAAAAAAAAUUAUUACAAAAACUAAAUUUAUAGUUAAAAAAAAGGUAAAAAUGUAUAAAAUAUAUUGUAAAAUAAUAUUAAUAUAUGUAUUGUUUAAUAAUAUAUAUUAAUUUUAUAUUUUUAAUAACAUGAUAUAACAAUUUUUUUAUUUAUAAAAUUUAAAAUAUUUUAAUCAUGAAUAUUAAAAAUAAAUAAAUAAAUGGUUACUUACUAAAUUUUAAAUUAUAUAAUAAUUUUCAAAUAAUACUUAGUAUGAGAGAGAUCUUAUAUUUUUUUUAAUAACAAAAAUUAGAAUGUAACGUAAUUUUUCUUUUAAACAAAUAUUGAAGCUUGACUUGAAAACUGGAAAAAAUUGGUUACUAUUGGAAAGAAAACAAGAUUGGUCGUAUAUCAUGGAGACUUUUUUUUUAUAAAUUCAGAAAUAAGUAAAGGUGGGUUUUGAACUGCAUUAGCAUUGAAUUUCUCCUUAGAGAAGCCUUUCAUAUACAACAACAACUUGGUCAUAUAAGAGAUCUUGUUCAUUCACUACCUGAGACUAAGAUUGAGUUUCCUUCGCUUUCGACUUCUUAUUUGUUUGUAGAUGACUAGGAAUUGACAUGACCUGAACAAACGAUAUUUCAACAAAAUAUAAUUUGUUUUUUAUUUUAUACUAAAUUUAAAUAUAAUAUAAACUAUCACACUCAAUAUAACAUUAAAAAAAUCAUUCAAUGGCAUAUAAUAUUAUAGGAUAUUCCUAUCUCAUUCAAUAUGUAACACUCAAUUACAUUUAAAAAUCCUAUGAUGUGUAUGUGUAUAUAUAUAUUUAUAAAAAUUUUAAAAUUUAAGGUAUUAAAAAAUGUUAAUAUUAAAUUUUUGUUAAAUUUUUAGCCGUUAUUGCAUCUUAUAUAAAAAUUAUUAUUAUUUCUUUAUUAUAAAAAUUGAAAAUUGAAAAUAUAUCUAAACUACAUCAUAAUUACUUGGACAAUAUUGACUUGGUGUGACUUUUAUUUAAUGUAGUAUUUUAUUAAUUUUGUCUUCUAUCAUUAACAAAUGAAAUGAUGCUUCAUAGCUAUCUGUGGACCCCGCAUUUCGGCUCAAUGCGUUUCCCACUCGAUGGUGAAACUCGAUUUUGAUUUGAAAAAUGAUUUUUAUUUAUUAAAAAGAAAUGACUUGGAGUCGCCACUUAUUUUUUGUUUUAUUUUUAAAGGGUAAACAAAAUAAGAAAGAAAAACCCUAAGUAUGACUCCUUGUUUUGGAAAAGGUGGUCUGUGAAAACCGGAUCGGGUUCGGGGGUCAGGUUACUCAUCGGGAAGGUACGGUAAAGACCGUAGCACCCCUCUAAGUCCCUAAAGUCGGGUCUCUACUAAUACAGUGAAACUGACGUGGCAAUCAAUGAGAAAAUCAAUGAAUACUCGAAGCGAUCAUGCACAUAUGGGAAUCAAAACAUGUAUAAGGAAUGAACAAAAUAUGAGUGGAUACGUACCUGGUCCUCCAGUCACGAAUCCGCUAGCAUGAAACAGGAUUAGUGAAUCACGAAUAGAUAAAAUUAUGCGCAUGUCAAGGAUCAGAAUAAAUCAAACAAAAUAAAUAAAUCAAUCAAUCAGUCAGUCAUAAGGAAAUCACAUAUGUUGGGCCCCACCAAAGCCCGAUUUAUAUUGCAUGAAUUAAUCUCACGAAUCCCAUUAUUUCGGAAUUAUGAAGAUUCAUCAUUCUUGGUUGGGUAAAAAUUAAAAGAAAUAGAACAUUAUUUAAAAAUUGGAGUGGAAUUAAAACUGUUCGAGAGAAAAUUGGAUUUUUGAGAUUUAUUUGGAAAUUGAAGUCUCGAAAAUUAUUUGAAGACUAGAGUCUUGAGAAUUAAAUUUAAGAAUUGGAAUUUUGGAUAUUAAAUUUGAAAGAAAUUAGAAUUUUGGAAAUCGGAAAUUAAGUUUAGAAAUUGGAAUUUUGAAGAAUUGUUUAAAAUGGAAUUUCAAAAUAAAUAACUAAAAUGAAAGAAAUUAGAAUUUUGGAAAUCGGAAAUUAAGUUCAGAAAUUGGAAUUUUGAAGAAUUGUUUAAAAUGGAAUUUCAAAAUAAAUAACUAAAAUAAUAAUAAUUAAAUGGAUUAAUGUGAAUAUCGGAAUUUUCGGAAUUAGAAAUUAAAAUCGGAAGUAAGAAAUUUUAAAAAAUUGUUUAAAGUGAAAUCUUAAAAUGAAUAAAUAAAAUAUUAAUGAUUAAAUAAAUUAAUGUGAACGUGAAAAUUUUUGGGAUUAUGAAUUUAAUUCGGAAAUCGGAAGUUUUAAAGAAUUGAUUUAAAAUGAAGUUUUAAAAUAAAUAAAUAAAAUACCAAUAAUUAAAUAAAUUAAUGCGAUUAUGAGAAUUUUAGGGAUUAGGAAUUUAAAUUUAAGGGUAAAAAAGAAGAAGAAAUAAUAAUAAUAAUAAUAGAAGAUUAAACUUUUAGCACCAAAAAUGAAGAAAUUGCGUGAAAUAACUUAAUAAAUAAGUAGAUGAAUGGGUAUAAAGGUAAAAUGGGAGUGGUUGUUGGAGUGGCGGACCCAAGAAUGCCCAUGCAUGGAUUCUUGUGCAGUGGGGCUGGUUGUUCAAAUGAUUACAAGAUGGCUUGGUGGGGCUCCAUUCACCCUUUAAACAUAUAUAACCUCAAAUAUCAACCCACACUAGUUUACUCCUAUCUAAAAAAAAGAACUCUCAUCAAGUGGGCUUCCACCAACACGGCAUCCUUCAAGGAGUCCCAUGAGCACAAGUUGACAGGCCCAGAUUGCAAGAUGCUCCGGGCGCGAACGAGGUUGGGUUUGCCAUAUGCUUCGGGGGAUGCUUUCCACAGCCCGGUGCAUGGUGAUGUAGAAAGAGAAUGAUGAUAAUAGAAAUGGGUAUGAAAGGUGUAUUGGGUAUGGGUGUGAAAGAGAUGACCAGAUUUGCAUGUUCUCACGAGCAUGAGUGGAUGAAUCUAAGGAGUUUUGGACAGCCGUACAUGGGCGGAAACAUGUAAUGGAUUGGUGGAAUGAGUAGAGAGGUUUAAUGAGAAAAUGGGUAUGGGAAAAGGUGAUCUAGCUUGCAUGGAAUUGGUGAUGUGGCGAGGUGAAGCAUUAAGAUGGCAUGGGAAGGCAGUAAGAUGUAAGGAGAAAUGGAUUUAAUGUAGACACCCAUGGCCGUGAAUCAAUGGAAGGAAUGAUUUUGAAAUACACUCAGAAAAUGGGUAUGGGGCUUGAAAAAAAAGAGAGAGAAAAGGUGGUAAAAAAAAAUGAGGAUUAGGAACGUGGGUAUGGAGUUUUGGGUGAUGAGAUGAUGUAGUUAUGGAGUGUGGGUAUGGGGAGUGAGCAUGGCGCAGCCACGCACAGCCAUGCAUUCUUCACACGUCUAACCCUGUCCAGGAACUUUCUCUAGCUUUAUGCGCAUGCAAUAAAUGUACUCUGCCCCCCUCAUUGCACUGGGUGUAAGUAGAAAGCAGUUCCUCCAGACCAGCAUCCCCACAUAUAUCACAAACUUUUACUUCAUAUUCCAAAACAUCUGAUUUAACAUUAUCAUCAACAAGCUGAGAUUGCAAAGGACGUUUCUGUGAGUUUGAAUGUCUCAAGUAAUGCACAAUACUCUUCAGAAUGUUCCUUUUUAUCUGACUUUUGACCACCGAAACUAGAGGCUGCCACUGCCACUCUCGCCGAUGAUGAUUCAACUUGUUUUCCAAAGCAUUCAGAAGAUUCUCCCUUCGGUGAUGUUGGAUUUGGACCAGCAUAAACACCUUUUAAGUAAGAAAAUUCUGACGGGUCCAAUUUGUUUGAUAAGCCAGCAGUUUUCCUCAUGGAUUCUUUAAUAAAUUCCUCUCCAAACUUUCGGAGUCCCUCAAAACACCCAACCCGGACAGCCAAACUUAAACAAAAAUAUUUGUACUAAAAGAAAUAGAAAAAACAGAGGAUAAAGAGUGAAGAAGGAAAACAGAGCAAGAAUGACAAGAGGAAAGAAGUAUUUAGCCAAAACCAUGUAUCAUGAGUGAUAAACGGGCUUCGAACUGGUGGGACAAAGAGGAAGGCUUCAAUAUAACUAUCAUUCAUCAAAUCUAAACCCAAAGAAGAAACUCACCAUUUACAGAGGGGAAAACAAGAUUAUUAGAAGGGAAUAAACAGAGCAUAUAUAAGCAAAAAAUCACAUUCAACCAAAGCAAACCUGUGGCCCUUGAACGUCCACAGCAAAUCACAAAUAGAUAUUCGUUAGAUUAACAUAGAAUGAAGUGGGAUUUUCAGAAAUGAAAACGCACCAGAUUCAAAGUGAUGCUUCUCACGCCUCCACAGCACAAACUCCUCCCCUUCAACGACUGCCUCCAGAAAGAAAAAAAAAACCCCCCGAACCCCCUUUCAACCUCUUUCCUUGCUUUUUCAACCUCCUCACCUUGUCUUCCUCAGCAAGCCAUCCUCGGCUCCACUGCUACACAUCCCAUCUGCCGCCCAAAAGCUCUGCCUCCCCUGCAGCUUCAGAGCCCCCAAACACAGCUCUCCCAUCAUGUCGAGCCCCGGGAAAUAAAAAUUAAAAUUAAAAAAAAAGUCUCUGCUUCCGGGGGGUCUACACUAUCACUAAAUGCAAGUACACCACACCAUAUGCAUUUGAUGUGUAUGUUUUCAUUAAAUAUUAGGUACAAUGCUCAAGUUUAGAUGUAUAGGUACAAUUUUGGAUUUUUGUCCCUUGUCCACUUGACCAUCACUUUCUCACACUUUCUGGUCUUUAAGCUAGCUCAAAGAUAAGAUUUUUUUUAUUUUUUUUGCAAUUUUGCUAAUAACACCAUGUGGUGAUACCUUUGGUUAUUUUUUUUUGCUUUUUUUUUAAAUGACGUUGACAACGGGAUUAUUAAUUAUUAUUAAUUUGAAAUUUUAUCAAAUACCUAUCUGGUCUUAUUUAUUAUUUUUUCUGUUCUAUUUUGUUUAAAAUAAGGUAAAUAUUUGACAAAAUCUUAAAUUCCUUGAGAUUAAGUGGAUUUAGCUCACAUUUUUUAAAAAUGAGUCAAAUUUACUUUUUUGUGUCUUAUCGCUUCUCUUUUCAAAAAUCUUAUAUGUUACAAAUUUUUGUUUGUAUUCCUCGUAUUACCAAUUUUAAUUAUCUAUUUUAGUGCCAUUUCUUUGUGUAUUUGAUGUGGUUUUCUUAUUAUGUUUGUGACUAUUAAUGACUUUUUCAGGUUAUGUUUGGUUUUUGGAAAAAUUGAAGAAAAAAAAUGAAGAAGAGAAAACAAGGAGAAGAAUAAAGAAUGAAGUUAAAGUUAUACAAGUUAAAUAAUCUAAAAAUAUCUAAGUUUCUAAGUAAUUUUAAUUAUAUUUGAUUUUUUUUUUUUUUUUGUGUUUUCUAUAGUAAAAUCAAGUAUGAAAAAAAAAAUUAGCAUUUUUUUUCUACUCUUGGUACCUUCUCACAAACCAAACAUAGCCUCAAAGGAUUACUUUGGUAGGAAAAUUUACAUUUAAAUGCUUUUAAGAAGCAUUCAUGUUUGGCGGCCCACCUUUGGGCAAUUUGACCAAAAGGUUCAAAAUAAAAAAUAAGGUCUUCUUUGAUAACUAUUUUUAAGAUUUCUUGUGAAGGAUUGUUCACCUUUUGAAGAGAAACAAAGAACAUUAUUUGUGCUUUUGUAAUUGAGAGCUUGAUAUAUGUUUAGAUAUGUAUAAAACUCAAUAUUGCACAUGCAAUAAGAAUAUUAGGCAAAUAUCGAAGUAAUUUAAGCUUGGAAUAAUAGAGAGUCGCGAAGAAAGGCAUGCAAUACUUCCAAUGUACAAAGGAUUAUAACCUUAAUAUAGACUAUUUGAAUGAUCUAAUCAUUUGGAAGUGGUUAGAUAUUCAUAUUUUGACUUUACUUACUACUCCAUUCUGAAAGAUCGACAUUAGGAUAUGUCAUCUUAUUAAGGGGUUAUUUAUUGGAAAAGUGAAACGCAAGUAAUACUUAUUUCUUUGACCAUAAGAAAUUGCGAAACAACCAUAUAAGCUAUUUGGCUAAAGAAUUUUAUUUUAGAGUUGAAGUUGUUGACUCAAUUUCCAUGUGUUUGGGAAUUCACUAUGACAACUACACUAAUGUUUUUGGCUAAGAACAACAAGAACGAAAGAUGUAAUAAAUACAUCGAUAUAAAAUACUUAGUUAUUAAAUAAUAUAUAAAAUCAAACAAGAUAACUAUUAAGCGCAUCCGUAUUGUAUUAUAUUGAUGAUUGUGGAUCCCUUAUCAAAAGGUUUGCUAUCAAAAACAUAUGAGGAACAUGGUGAGUAUACAAGACCAAGUCACAUUUUGUAGAUAUUAUGUAACUAAUAUGCUCUUUGUGUUUGUAUCGUAUUUUGGUCUAUAUAUGCUUAUAUUGCAUUUUAAUUGAUAUGAAAAGCUUCAAUAACUUCGAUUGUAUAUCUAAAGUUUAAAGAAUAACAAUAUGCAUUUUUUAAUAUUAAGUAGUCUUAAAUGAGCAUUUGAAAAUUCAUUCUUAAAAAUAUGAAAAAAAAAAAAAAAAAUCGUUUUGUUACCAAAUGGGCUAGCACGGUCUGUUCAACGAAAUCUCCCUGUUGGGCCUGAUCCCGCCCCAUUGGGCUGGUAGUUAAAGGACGUUUCACUCCGUCUGCAUACAAAAGGAACGAAUCAGAUGCCCAUAGAACCCAAAAAAAAAAAAAAAGAUGAGUCUGACAAAUAUUGGGCUACAGUAAGGCCCUUCAAUAGAA
rnacentral:lncRNA from 1 species